rnacentral:tRNA from 1 species
GUAGAUCAAUAAUCCAGUGUUUUGAACGGUUUGUGCAUUGUCGGGCGUUUCUGUAUAUCGUGAGAAAUCGACCCGACUUAGUUUCCUAAACCGCAGGUCAGGGGUUCGAAUCCCUUCCGGGACACCA